AUGAAAAUACUGGCUUGGAACUGUCGAGGUCUUGGGAACGCCCCGGCAGUACGUGCUUUGCUGGAUGUCCAGCGAAGAUGCAACCCCGAGGUGAUGUUUUUGUUGGAGACGCACCUUGAUAGCUAUCUGGCAGAGUGUCUUCGGAAAAGAUUGCAGAUGGACCAAAAACUAGUUUGUCCGAGUAAUGGUAUAAGUGGAGGUUUAGUUCUUUUUUGGAAUAAUAAUGUCAAUGUUCAUAGAUUAGCUCUUGAUCCUAUGUUCAUUGAUGUAACGAUUGAGGAUAAUAAUGAUUCUGUUUGGCGUUUGACUGGAUGUAUGGAGAUUUUAGAUGGGAGAACAAACACUUGA
rnacentral:rRNA from 1 species